UUAUCCCCUUUGUGACUCUUUACUGUUCUCUGAGCCUCCCCAUUUCCCUGCUUUGAAGGGCUGCUGGGAAGUUGUUGGGUUGGUUAACUGUACAUCCAUCCGCUUUAUACAGAUGACCUUUAUUAUAAGGGGACAUCUGAAUUAGCAUAAGCUGUAAUCAAAACAACUCUGGCAUGUGUUUGGUGUCUGCUGCUCUUCUCCUCCUCCUCAUCCUUCCUUUUGAAGUUUUUGAUCCUCUGUGGAUAUUUCGGUUCAGGCAUUUUCUGGUGAGCUGUCAGAACGUUGCAUGCAUGUCAUACUUUUACCAUUAACGGUAUUAGACUGUAUUCCACAGUUUCACCGCCAGCUGGAUGUCUCCCGCUGAACAUUUCACAGCACCACCUUAAGAACAGAGAAGGCACUCUGACAAAUCUUUGUAACGUGGAUCUGUGAAACAUAGUAAAGUUUAAUUUGUCUCCUGACCCGUGGGGAUUCCUUACCCUGUGCGCCAGACCGCUGGUAUGCACCUCAGCACAGCUCCACUCCUCUGGCCUCGACCUAAUCCCUCGUCAUCAGCUGUUUCCUGGCUCUCCGCAUGCCAUUCGCCCAUGAGAAAAUGUGCUUCAAAUUAUGACCAUGCAGAAAACAUGCCGGCAGUCUGAUUUGGCUCACAUGUGUGGAUGUGUAACAGCCUGAGCUUGGCAGCGUGUUUUUGAAACACAUUGAUCCCAUUCUGUCCUUGUGUGAUUCAUUGCUCGUGACAUGGACACACACCUGUUCAGCCAUCGUGCCCGGAAGACCAGUGAGGCUUUGUUUACAUCUGGAUGAAGUAUGGAGUUUGGAGUCUUUUCAGAUACAGCGGCCUCUGAGUCACUUAUUGGGUGAUUCAUAAUUCAUUCUUCAUACUUGUGAGCUGAGCUGUUCUCUCUUUGGAGGUCCAGUGGUCUACAUGGAUCGAAGAGGCCCUCGCUAAUAGAUCAUUGUGCUUUGACACUCAUCAUACAGCUUUAAUGAUCAGAACUAAGUAGUGGUGUGAUACAGCAUCCUGUACGGCUGCACGUCCAUCUGGCCUCCCCCUCAUUCCCUCCUUCUCUCCCUCCCUCCCACUCACAUAAAGCUGACAGGCAGCUGCAUCUCCUCUCCAGCCAGAGUUUACGUCCACCCCUGCAGGACAACUCCGGGAGGAAGGAUUUCUUUUUGAAUUGUACAUGAAAAUGAAUUUACUCAAAUAAAAGAGAAGGGAAUAAUGUUCCACUGCUUAUACUUCUCUUUUCCCUCUCUUUUAGCUAUUAAUGUUCAUUAACAAAACCUGCAAACACAAAGCCCUUCUACUGUAUGUUCACGGUCACACUUUUCUUUAAGUUUAAAGGAUUUAUAUCAUUUAUAACUAAUAUUGACCAUUCAAACUUUAAGUUGAGUACCGCUCAUUUAGUCGUGAAUAUUUCGUGACAUACAGAAUUACAUCAGCACCUUUUAAACUUGCCAAUAAAGACGUUAUUUCUAGUUUCUUUAAUCCGUAUGAAGAACUAAGUGCAAAAAGGACAACUUGCCAACGGUCCGUAGCCAACUGUCUCCCCCAGUUUCCAGUCCAAGUAUUAAAGUAAGCCGACUGACAGCUGGCUCCAGCUUCAUUUUUAGCAAUUAGACAUGGGAGUAUUGAUCUUCUCAUGUAUUUGACAACAUUUAAAACCAAGUAGUUUUGCUUGAAAUACAAUAUUUUUAUACACUGGCAUUAUUACUUUUAGACUCCUUAUUUACACAUAUAACGUUAAAGGAUAUGCAACUGAAUAUGGAAAAAUCCAGAUAAGGGUUAACUAACCCUAACCCUUAAGCAGGAAGUUGCGGUCUCCACCAAAUUCUUUUAAACAUCGCUUAAUCUCACUGGAGUUUGUGUUGUCCAACACAAACAAGCUUGAAUUGCCGAUUCGGUGAAGUUAGACAUGAGGUAGAAAUAAAAAACAGCCUUUGCUUUUACAAGAUACAAUCAUUUCACACAAUGGAAUAUGGGGGCUUUACAAAUUCAUCUCAUGGUUUUGUGCUAUUUUUAUGGAAAGUACGAACAUCAUUGAGCAUAGAAAACAACAGCCAAGUGAGCAAUUCCAGGAUUGUUUUACAGCAAGUGUCAAAGAUAACAUAAGUUAACUCCACACGUUGGAUAAAUUAUCACCCAGAUUGAUGCUUCUCUGUCCGCCCCCCUCCCCCUUUGCUCUUUCUUACAACACAAUAAAGUCCAGGGAAACCAGUGGAAUUUAAAGCCAGUCUGGCCUAAUUGUGUUCAGCUGUUUCUGUUUCUUUCCUUCGGGGGUGCCGCAGUGAAGGCUGCAAGCGUGUGUAGGCGUCCGCCCGUUUCUCAUGGGGGAACGUUGGGGGGCUCGUGCCCUCACGUGUUAGUGUGUUCGGCCGGUGCGCAGGAAGAAGGAGGGAGCGGAGUGGGAGGAUGUGGCGCUGCUUAUGCCAGCAAAUCUAUCUGAUGUCCCUGUAUUCCUUAUGAGCAGUUUGAGCACACAUAUAAUUACCUCUCUGUUAGUAAACCAAAGGCUUGCUGCUCAGGAAAACGGGAAAAAUGAACACAACUUCAAUGACUGCUUUAGUUUUUUGACAUCUUAAUUAUUUUUCCAUCAUUUAGUCCUCAAGUGAGUAGAAAAUUAGAUCAUCAAACUGAAAUCAAACACUUGCCACAUCAAAAGCUUUCAUUGUACAACCGUCAGUUUUACCCAGAAGCCCUUUAGAUCUCCCCCCCCCGCCGCCACUACAAACAGCAUUUACAACUCUGUUUGAGCGGGAGCAAACCGAAGUCCACAGUUUCCCAAACAUGUGCAGCCUCAGCAUGAGCAGAGUCGCUGUGUUUUGUUGAGUAAAGACUGCUCAUAGUAACUGUGUCUCGAUACUGAACCAAAUGAAACCAGGGCGAGUUUCACAAACAGGAAGAAUGACUUUUCGAAUGCACCUCUCAGUCUGAUAUUGCAAACUCGAGAUGGCUCAAGUGCAGCUUCAAGCUCUAAAGUUACAACAACUACUGAGAGAUGAGAUGUGAAAGAUGAGAUGUGAGAGAUGUGAGAGAUGAGAGAUAUGAGAUGUGAGAGAUGAGAUGUGAGAGAUGAGAUGUGGGAGAUAUGAGAGAUGUGAAAGCUGAGAUGUGAGAGAUGUGAGAGAUGUGAGAGAUGAGAUGUGAGAGAUGAGAGAGAUGCGAGAGAUGUGAUGUGAGAGAUGAGAGAGAUCUGAGAGAUGAGAUGUGAGAGAUGAGAGAGAUGAGAGAGAUGUGAGAGAUGAGAUGUGAGAGAUGUGAGAGAUGAGAUGAGAGAGAUGUGAGAGAUGAGAUGUGAGAGAUGAGAGAGAUGUGAGAGAUGAGAUGUGAGAGAUGAGAUGAGAUGUGAGAGAUGAGAUGUGAGAGAUGUGAGAGAUGAGAUGUGAGAGAUGAGAUGAGAGAGAUGAGAGAGAUGUGAGAGAUGAGAUGUGAGAGAUGAGAUGUGAGAGAUGAGAUGUGAGAGAUGAGAGAUGUGAGAGAUGAGAUGUGAGAGAUGAGAGAGAUGAGAUGUGAGAGAUGAGAGAGAUGUGAGAGAUGAUAUGAGAUGUGAGAGAUGUGAGAGAUGAGAGAGAUGUGAGAGAUGAGAUGUGAGAGAUGUGAUGUCUGAGAACUCACAAACUAGAAGGUUGUUGUAUCUCUUUUUAUAUCAUUAAAGAUGGAUUAUUAUGAUCCAAACACAGGCUUAAUUAGACUGCACAGAUUUCCUGUUUACAGUAACAGGUUCUGACAGCAGGUUGACAGGAUGGGGGCUUUCCCAGCUGAAAGUGCCUUUUACUCAUGAGUUUCGGCGUCAUUACUCCAUCUCUGGUAAUUCACGGUACAUGUGUUAACCGUGUUAGGGGACGGCGGGGUACAGGGCAGCGUGGGUCUGCUUCUGAGGGACCAGAAGGUUUUCCUCGGGGGGGUUGUUCUGUCUUGGAGGAGUGCUAAAAAAAAAAAAAGUUUGUUUUAACUAAGACAUUCCGGGUCAUUGUUUUCCCACAGAGCGCGCCGGAAUCUGUCAGGAAAAAACAAUCACCCCUCUAAAACCAAAAAAAAGAAGAGUAUUGCACGUUGAUUCAUUCUGCAUUGCAGCUAUUCUAGUGGCAUGAUUUAGAAUAGCUCCUAAUAAAGUGGCAGUAACAGACUGUCUGAUGUGAGCUGUAACUGUUUGCAUUGGAAAGAAGACACCGCUAAAUAUGAGAUGUUUGUUUUGGAGAUCACAGCUUCCUGGGUCCUUCAGCAGAGUAAACAUCACACUCGCUCUGCUCUCUCACUCCGUGCUUUGAUGUGACUUUUUCUCUAAAUUGUAUUCUGUUUGGCUGCAUGCUGCCUUUGUCGUCUUUUCCACUGUCUGGUGCUGUGUGCAGUCCUCUUGUGGUGUGUUGAUGGUUUGUCAUCCUUUGUCAUUGCUCUAAUUGCUCUGUUUUUGCAUGUUGAUUGUUUUUCUUUCUUUUUCCUUUGUUUUUGUUUUUCCCCUCAUUCCUGAGUGUGACUAUGCAUGUUUUAUGUGCAGCUUGUUAUUCAAAGCAGUUUUUCUCCUUGUAUAAGUGUCAUUGUGUGCAGAUCGUCAUGGAGGCAUCCCGUGUUGUCUCCAUGGGUAUUUGGUUAGUGUCACUGAUGCAUUACAGCCUUACACCCACACACCCAUACAGGAAGUCAGAGCUCUCCAGCUGCACUCAGGCCUUUUGGAUGUCUUUCUCUUUUCUUUUUUUUUCGGUUAUAGAUUACAGCCGCCCCACACCCCUUUCUUUCUCCUUCUAACUGCGACCCCCUUGGGACAAGCUUGAGCAAAUAGUUGGCUGCAAGUGGGGUUCACGAAGCAGUUCCCACCUCAUCCAGGAGUUCUUUAUCACUGCCAGAUGUUAAAAUAAAACACGCAGCUACAGUAUAUAUAGACAAUCUCGGAAGUGGGAUUACAGGCUGCAGUGGGGUUGCGUGGGCCGCCCGUGUCCCGCUGAGGUCCAUUUUGGCAUUCUUCCUCAUUAGCCUGUGACACAUAGAGUGUAGCAGCUUGUUUAUCGAAACAAGGCAGGGUCAAUCAGCCACCAGAUUCCCAGCAUCUGUGGGAAAAGGUCUGCAGUGGGAUAGUUUAUCCAUCGUAGUGAUUACUGCGCCACUGCUUACAUAAGGACUUUUUGAUUUGGACCUCCACGGUCAUUGCAGGACUGGAGUGUCCCAUUUCAAAGAUAGCAAAGACAACAACUAACAUGUGUGUUAGGAAAAUGUUUUCAGAUCCUUUCAUCUAAAAGAUGAUCCGAAUGAGAUUCACUUUACUCAUGGAUAUAAUAACUGUUUAUUUCUGUAAAUUGCCUCAACCACCACUCUGUUGUCUACUUUUGGUUUUAGUGGCCAUCAUCCAGCUUUAAUAAGUGAGAAAGGAGUCGCUGAGAUGCUGCCAAGUCUUCCUGGAAGGUUCACUGGUGUCCAGACAACAAAGGACCACAAAACAGCCAUUUCUUUCUCAGAUGCUUUCAAAACUUCCCAUAAGUGUCUCCUUGCACCAAGACUAUUACUUUUAAAGUCCUGAUAUUAGCAUGUUCUUAAAUCUGGGAGCAAAUCUUGCUUAUAGUGUUCAUUCUCCAAACUCUGGCUCCCUUUGGCCCUCUGAUCCUAGUCAGCACAUCCUAUUUUAAGGGUCCGAUUCCUUCUCUGUUCAUGGGUCAACAUGGAACCUCAUCGUGUUGCAGUAGCCAAACAUUAUUUUUCCGUCCUUUUCAAAGACUCCAAAAUAAUAUUUGAACAGACUGAGAUUCUUGUUCAGUUUUCUGCUGAAUGUAUAUCCUGCUGCAGUUAUCUAAUGUUUCUCUUUGGCCGUGGCAGAAAUAGCACCGGCAGCCAUUUACGAAAUCAUGUGUUGGUCCUCGUUCUGCCAAGUACUGGCCAAGCGCAUCUGGCUGUUGUCGCUCAAAAGGCUCAUCCCCGACAGCGAGGCUGCUGGUUCCCAUAAACUCUGAUGUGUGGCUUCCUCAGUAAACGUUCCCUCCGUGCCUGUUGCUCGGGUCCACAGGGAUAAGGUGAACCCUCCCCCAAC
ensembl:lncRNA